GCUUAACACAUGCAAGUCGAGCGCCGUAGCAAUACGGAGCGGCAGACGGGAGAGUAACACGUGGGAACGUACCCUUUGGUUCGGAACAACCCAGGGAAACUUGGGCUAAUACCGGAUAAGCCCUUACGGGGAAAGAUUUAUCGCCGAAGGAUCGGCCCGCGUCUGAUUAGCUAGCUGGUGGGGUAACGGCCCACCAAGGCGACGAUCAGUAGCUGGUCUGAGAGGAUGAUCAGCCUCACUGGGACUGAGACACGGCCCAGACUCCUACGGGAGGCAGCAGUGGGGAAUAUUGGACAAUGGGCGCAAGCCUGAUCCAGCCAUGCCGCGUGAGUGAUGAAGGCCCUAGGGUUGUAAAGCUCUUUUGUGCGGGAAGAUAAUGACGGUACCGCAAGAAUAAGCCCCGGCUAACUUCGUGCCAGCCGCCGCGGUAAUAC
rnacentral:rRNA from 1 species